UGGGGCGCUGUAAGGGGGGGCGCGGCCCGAGCCCGGGGAGCCCUUCGGAGCCGCUGCAGCUUUCCCGGGACUGGCGCGAUCCUCCACCGGGUCUGGCCCCGGGCGCUUUCCGCAGGGACGCUCCGCGCUGGAACCGCUCCCGGGUCAGAGCCGCGUUUGCGGAGCGGAAAGCCCCGCUGUCGGCCCAGGCAGUCCCUUGGGGGGGUGGUUCCCAGCCAGGGGUACGCAGAGACCUGCCAGGGUGCAUCAGCUCAUCUAGAGAUUUGCCUAGUUUCACAACAGGCUACCUACAAAGCACUAGCGAAGUCAGGACAAACCACACGUUCAGACACUGACUUGUUUGUACUGCUCUAUGUACUACGCACUGAAAGAGAGGGAAAGAUUUCCAACCAGUCGACAUGGUCCGGCGACCCUCGAGACCUGAGUACUGGUUCCUCAGCUUUCUGAUUGCUAGCCUGUCCAGAGAAGUCUUAGACUUUACUGCCCUUGCUGAUAAUCACACUUCAAAAGAUUUUGGUGCUGCAGCUGCCACCAUCGCAACCUCGGGAGAUGUUUAUGAAUAUGUGGACGUCCCCUUGGACUGGUGGCAUGCGAACAGACACUGUGAACAACGCUUUGCGCAGCUGCUCUUUGAGAUCAGGGACAGCGAGCUGGCUUCGGUCAGCAAACUGCUGCGCUCCCACCAAGUGGAAAGCUCUGUCUGGUUAGACGAGAGGGAGGCAUUCCUGCACAAACACAAACAGAGACGAAUUCACACAGCACCAAUCCUGGUGUUCAGAAACAAAACAGACACUAAGUACGUGAAGGUGCUGGCCAACUUCCCCGUGAUGCCUGCUGUCAGCGCCUGUGCCCACAUCCAGUGGGACAACAAGACCCAGGAGAUUUCCACCAUCUUCUCCUAUGCUGUCCCUGCUUUCAUUAAUGAGUUCCAGCUGCGCGGCUUUGUUGAUGAGGAAGGGUUUGUACGAUUUGCCAUCAUUGUCCACGGACACCACUCCCCGUACUUGCCCGUGUUCCGCAGCGACGGUCAGUGGCAUCACUUCUGUGUCACCUGGCAGCAGCGGAACGGGACAUGGGCCAUCUACGCCGAUGGGAAGAAGAAGGCCUCUGCCUCUGGACUGUGUGCCGCAGGGCCACCGGCCAGCCAGGCUAUUUAUGCUCAUGGGACUUUUAUUAUUGGGCAAGACCAAGAUUCACUAGGGGGCACCUUCAAGGAGAAAGAGUCCUUCAGUGGGAACAUCACUGACCUGAACGUGUGGCGGAGAGUCCUUAGCAAAGAGCAAAUAGAGAGAGUCCGGUCGUGCUGCCUGAUAGAACAUGAACUUAUCUUCAGGUGGGGCAGUUACACUCUGGAGAUUGAGCCCACUGUACAAGAAGUGACAGCACAGUUCCUUUGCCCAGGGCCCGUGGAGCAAUGCAGAGUUCUUGAUGUUGGCAGUGGUGGAGUCCGUGAAACUUCUUGUUCGCGUUCCUUGCCUUUCGUCUGCCACUACAAGAAGGAUAUGUAUUUACUCUUGAAGAAAACCCAGUCAGAAUCCAGCCCGCCACUGAUCAGUCGGGUUAAUACCCUUGCAAAUGCUACCGUGAUUCCUGAGAAUAUUUUCUUGGGCGAUGUUAGAGACAUGAACAUCUCAGCAGCUGUCAAUGUUCUCCAUGCUCUGACGAUUGUCCUGAGGGAAGAGGAGACCCUGGUGAAGCCAGCUGACCUGCUUGGCGUGGUACAGUUUCUAAAGGAAGUUUCAGACGUUGAAGUCCAGGAGCAGGAACAGCUGGAGAUCCUGGAGCAGCUGAGCCAGUAUUACGUGGAAGUGACUGGACUGAUCCUGGAGGAGCAAAAUACUGACAAGUGGUCAGAAAUCAGCCAGAUUAUCAGAGGGCCUAUGACUGUUGUAGAGAACAUGGACAGAAUGGCAUCAAACCUAGAUCAACUUCUGACUGCAGAAAGGACAAAGAUAACGAUCCAGCACAGGAACAUUGGGGUUGAAGUCAGGAAGAUAGAGCUCAGCCAGCAGGAACCCAGCAGUGACGUGUAUCUGAUCCAAAGCCAGGAGGCAGGCGGGCCUGACCUCAUAGAAGUUCCCCCUGAAGAAGUAGAAAGACUUAAAGCCAAAGGUCACCGCAGUGUCACUGCGAUCAACACGUGGUACGGCUACUCCUCCCUCCAGUGCUUCCUCCCGGGAAGCCGCGCCAUGUUCCAGGAUGGGGCCGCGUCUGACGGAGGACGGAGGUAUCUGAGCACACAGGUGGGCUCUGCCAUUAUUUCAUCCAUUCUACGCAGCGACUACCAGGAAAUCAGCACAUCAGUACGCUAUCACUUGCAGCACCACACCCAGGACCCGUCUGACAAGCUUGUGGAACCGAUCUGCGCUUUCUGGAACUUCAGCAUCAGCCCAGAAACCGGGGGAAUGUGGUCCACUGUAGGCUGCUCCAUCAUAAUGUCUCACCUGGAAUCCACAGUCUGCUUCUGCAACCACACCACCAACUUUGCAGUGCUGUUGCAGGUGUAUGAAGUGCAGAGGAGCUCAGAGGAGGAGCUGACUCUGAAGACCCUGACAUUUAUUGGAUGUGGAGUUUCUUUCUGUGCCCUGAUUGUUACAUUCAUUUUAUUCCUGGCAGUCGGCGUUCCUAAGAGCGAAAGAACAACAGUGCACAAGAAUCUGAUCUUUGCUUUAGCUGCAGCUGAAGCUCUGCUCAUGUUUAGUGAAUUGGCCAAAACCAAUCAGGUACUGUGCUUUGCUGUCACAGCUUUCCUCCACCUCUUCUUCAUGGCAGCCUUUUCUUGGAUGCUGGUAGAAGGGCUUCUCCUGUGGAGCAAAGUGGUUGCCGUCAACAUGAGUGAAGACAGGAGAAUGAAGUUUUACUAUGUGACUGGCUGGGGCCUGCCAGUUGUUGUUGUUGGUGUGACUCUGGCAACUUCAUUUAACAAGUACGUGGCAGACCAUCAUUGCUGGCUGAACGUUCAGACCGAUAUCAUCUGGGCGUUUGUUGGGCCAGUUCUCUUUGUUCUGACGGUAAAUACCUUCGUGCUGUUCCGGGUGGUGAUGGUCACAGUGUCCAGUGCACGGAGGAGGUCAAAGAUGCUGACCCCCAGCAGCAGCCUGGAGAAACAGAUUGGAAUCCAGAUAUGGGCCACGGCCAAGCCCAUCUUGGUGCUGCUGCCAGUCCUGGGCCUGACGUGGGUGUGUGGGGUCCUGGUUCACCUCAGCAUCAUCUGGGCUCAUGUCUUCAUUGUGCUGAACUCCCUCCAGGGUUUGUACAUCUUCCUGGUCUAUGCAAUCUAUAACAGUGAGGUGAGGAACGCCAUACAGAGGAUGAAGGAGAAGAAGAAAGCGCUCUCAUUCACAAACUGUUCUCAUCCGAUCAAUUAUCUGUCAAGUCCAAGAAAUACAACUUCCUGGGAGACUGGGAAGCUGAGUCCUUCUGCGCCCGAGAGCGCCGUGUCCAGCCCUGUGCAGAAAGAUCCCACCCUGAAGAACAUUACCAACAAAGGAAACUUCGGUGCUAAAAUUCCUAUGGGGAUUUCCUCAAUGAUGUCACCAGAGAGACCGGCUGUAGAGCUGACAGCGUUCAAAUCCUCAGAGCACUGUAUGGCACAGCCGCAAUGAAAUGCCACUUUUCAGACUGACCUGGCUCUCAGCUAGGAGACUCCCUUGCUGCACAGGCAGGGCUAGUGCCAAGGAAGCGAUGUUAGCUACCCUCAUCCUGUCCUGGGCCUCCUUGCAUGCACAGCGCCAUAUCUCCCAGCAGCUCGCCAUCUUGUGUUCUUUGCAUCCUGUUUCACUGCUCUGCAAACCCCACCAUGCUCUGUACAUACCGGCUGUACUCGAGACAACCAGAGCCAUGCCUUGCUGAGAGCUGUCUUGUGUGCCCAUGCCACAUCUUGCAAUGCCCAGCCCGCCUCCCCAUGUUGAGAACCUCUGCGCUCCUGUAUGCACACCUUUCUUGCUAUCUCCACUAUCCCUCUCUCUGCUGCAGUCACCAACCCCUUGUGCCACAUGCUCUGGAAGGAGCACUGCUACCGCCUCUAGCUGCUUAGAGCAGCUUUAUGUGCCAGAUGGGCCAGAUAUUUAAAAGCAUCCCGCACUGCACCUGCACCCAGUGCAUGGAGCUCUUCCUGUCAAAGCACAACGCCAUCUGGCUUUCCUUCCGGGGGGGGGGUGUCAGUGCCAGGUGCUGCGGGAUCAUUGAUCACUUUGCUGGGAGGAGUGGGCAGAGGCACAUUUCAGCAGCAAUAGCUCUUUGCAGAGACUUGCUGACUUAGGGAAUGCUAAAGCCGCCUCCCCACCCCCCACCUCCCCAGUGAGAAAUGGGUGUGACUGAAGCUGGGUGCCUGGGAGAGAAAAUGCUGUUGCUGGCAGGUGAAGCCAGGGAGGGCAUGGGUUGGAAAGGCCAGAUUUCCAAAGAUAAAUGCAAUUGCUUAAUGUCCUUCUCUUCUGAAAUGCCCUGCCGAGCCUGGUGGGGCAGAUCUUGGCCCCUGCAGUGUGGAAACACUUCAUGAGAAGGAAAGACCAAGGCCAGACUAGAAAUCAGCAGAAUUAGAAACUGACCCUCCCCUUAAGCUUUGCCUCCUCACUCUUGGGAGCCCAGAAGGAAAGGUGGGCUAAUCCUUCUGUGCUACCUGGGUGUCACUCCCUGCCUUGGUUUCCCCAGCUGUACAGUAGCACUGCCUUACCCCCCAGGCAUGUUGUGAGGAUAAAUACAGUAAAGAGGAGGGUGCUCAAAUAGUGGGGUGGGGGGGCUCUGUAAGUAGCAUCAAUAGACAGAGGGUGAAUUCUCCCCUCUCCAGAGGCCGGUGCUCCUUCCCGCUGCCAAGGGAGGGGUUUCACAUGAGAGCAGAGUUCUGCUCCUGUUCUUUGUCCCUAGCUGGGCCAGUUCCAACUUCCCCUGGCCAGUUCAGCCCACCACUCACUUCAGAUUUGCAGGAGUUUCCUGGGCACAACCAAAGGAAUCUGCUCAAGGUCACAGCUCCAAGGAGGUGAAGGUUCUGCCUGGUACGGGGCGGGGAGCACUUUGCUGGACAGCUGUUGAAGGCAGAUGCCAUGCUUAGAAAUUCCCACUGUUGUGCCCAGAAGCUGGCCCCCAUCGGUUCCCAGGCAGCCAACUCUCUGCCUUGUCAGAAAUAAGGCAAGAGACUUUGACUGGAUUCUUCCAUUAUCUUCACCAGUCUCCCACUAUUGUGCUCAGCUGACAGAGAGAGCGGGUUUGCUGGCUGGGCUGAGUUCAGGGACCCAGCCUGUGCAUCCGGGCAAUGCAAACCCCUCUUUGCCUCCUGAGUGCAUUUUUGAACUGGCUAUUGGUGCCAGAGCCCUUUGUUAGCUUUGUGAAAGGAAAAUCUGUCACCAGCUGAUGCUGGUAGGAUCAAAAUUCCUGCCCCGAGCUGUAGAGAACCUGUGUUUUUUGAGUUCCCAAAGCCAGAUGCAGGAUAGUACAAGGGAAAAGAUGGCAGCAAUGCACUGAAUGCCCCAUCCAGAUCAGUCCUAAUGUGCGGGUAAAGCUAGGGGGUACCUCCCAAACUGAAGAGGUCUGAGGAAAGAUUCUUUUCCCAGGGAGGGGAAGUGAGGUGCAGUGGUCGAAGCAGGAGACUUGCUUCUAGCCCAGAUACUGCCGGUGAUUCACCCUGUGACCCGAACAUGCCUCAUUCUCUUCCCAGCCCAGUGUCAGUGUGCAGGUGAUGACAUUUACCUCUCUUGGUAACUGCCUGUGAGAGCUUUGGGUGACAAAUGGCUGACCCGUGCCCCAUAUUAUGCGGAGAUGAAUAUCCAGCCAGCCAAGGAGAGGAGAACUGAUGAGACGUAGAUUGCUGACAACAGAAUUAUUGGGUUAGAGAGGCAAGGGUCUUAGGACCUGGGGGCUUCUCCGCAAGCCCAAGAGGAAUGGUAAACUGGAAAUUGCAAAGGGUUGGGUAGAAAAGUAUAGGACAGUUCCUAAAAUGGCCAGUGUACCAAAGUCCCUUAAGAAGCCAAAGAUGCCUGUGAGGCUGCUGAUUGAAUCGCUGUUCUGCAGCAGAAAAUGGUAAUCACCCUUAGAACUGUGGCUGUUGCAUUGGGUUGGCUGGCAUAGAAUCAAAGAAGCAUAAAGCAUGGCUGCUUUGUCUUUAUAAUCACUAAUGAUUAUUAAUUAGUAACACUGCCUGGCUGGGGUGCCUGGCACUGCCUUCUAGGAGAAGAAUCUUAAAGCACGUUACACCGCCGCAGGACUUAAGGCUCACAGCGCCCCAGGGAGGUAAGUCAGGCCUGUUCCUUCUAUUUUACAGCUGGGUAAAUGGACCGAGACUUUUCAUAGAUCCCAAGGACAGAAGGGGCCACUGUGGUCAUCUGGUCUGACCUGCUGUAUGACACAGGCCAGAGAGCUGCUCCAGAAUCCUUCCUAGAGCAGAUCGUUUAGACAACAUCCCAUCUUGAUUUAAAAGUGGUCCAUGAUGGAGAAUGUACCACGCCCCUUGGUAAAUUGUUCCAGUGUGUAAUUACCCUCACUAGGUAAAUGACUUGCCUAAGAUAACACAAUCAGUGCCAGAGCUGGGCUGUUGCCAGGCCAGUAAGCAGUGCUCCCCGCAGUAGAGAACACAGCUGCACACAGGUAACGCUGACAUUUCUUCACCGCUGAUGGCAGAAGCCCAGAGCCUUGCGCAUGUUUAGGCUCCUAACUUCAGUAGUAAUCAAUGGAGCUGGGGCAGAGUCCAGUCUGUGAAAAUUACUUACCUGAGCCUUCGGGGAGACUGAUCCUUGUCUUGCUGGGCUUGCAGUUUGGCCAAGGCGUCCUGCUCAGCUCAGUGUGUGAGAGAAUUCUUUCCCCUGGCACAUUAGCAAGCCCCACUAAUGCACACCUCCAACUGUUCAGAUGCGUUUGAGGACCUCUGAAGCCAGCAGUUAGACAAAAGGAGGGCUUUAUGCUGCCUCUGUCAUUGAGGGAGACAAAAUGUAUCGGAGUAAAAUAAAUAUUUCCUUUCUGGUUUUAAUAUUCAGUGAACACAAAAGCCUCUGCACAAUGUACUUUGUGUCCUAAGAUAAUUUGUGUCCCUUUCUAUCUCACAGUCAAACAUGAUUCAGUUCU